UCUCCGUUGGUGAACCAGCGGAGGGAUCAUUACAGGACUCGCAAGACUCCUACAACCCUGUGAACUUAACUAUAAGCACGUUUCCUCGGCGGGUGUCUCGGAGGGGGUUCUCCCUCCCCGGGACGUGAAACCCGCCGGCAGCCUACUAUACUCUGUCUCUUUGCGUUGGCAUCUCGAGUACAAUCAAACAAGUUAAAACUUUCAACAACGGAUCUCUUGGUUCUG
rnacentral:misc_RNA from 1 species